AGUACAAGUGCAUAAUUCUCCACCAAAGAAUGAAAACAUUGCUAUAACAAAUCCAUCUGUCCUUUACUUUUAGACGAACAGAAGCUAUUAUCUGUGUGCAGGAUAGACAAGGAGAUACAAGGGGCACCUCCUCCUCUACAGCCCAGCUGAACCACUGCCAACACAAGCAGAAAGACAGAUCUCUUUUCAAUUCUCUGUGCUCCUAUGACUGAAUUUGAAAGCCUACCAUCUGCAUGUCCCUCUUAAGUCCUGGAUUUAUCACUCCGGGCACCUUCAUAUCCAAACAGGACGGGCACGGUGGCUCAAGCCUGUAAUCCCAGCACUUUGGGAGGCCGAGGCGGGUGGAUCACGAGGUCAAGAGAUCGAGACCAUCCUGGUCAACAUGGCAAAACCCCGUCUCUACUAAAAAUACAAAAAAUUAGCUGGGCACGGUGGCGCGUGCCUGUAAUCCCAGCUACCUAGGAGGCUGAGGCAGGAGAAUUGCCUGAACCCAGGAGGCGGAGGUUGCGGUGAGCCGAGAUCAUGCCAUUGCACUCCAGCCUGGGUAACAAGAGCGAAACUCCGUCUCGAAAAAAAAAACUUUAUUUUUAAAUAAAGAGCAUUUAAGUAACUUUUAAAUAAAGAAGUACAUUUUAAAUAGUAAGAAUUUUAUUAUUGCC
rnacentral:lncRNA from 1 species